rnacentral:rRNA from 1 species
AANNUAGCAUAUCAAUAAGCGGAGGAAAAGAAACCAACAGGGAUUGCCCUAGUAAACGGCCGGAGUGAAGCGGCAAAAGCUCAAAUUUUGAAAGCUGGCCUUCGGGUCCGCAUUGUAAUUUGUAGAGGAUGCUUUGGGGCAGCCGCCUGUCUAAGUUCCUUGGAACAGGACGUCAUAGAGGGUGAGAAUCCCGUAUGUGACAGGACAUGGCACCCUAUGUAAAGCUCCUUCGACGAGUCGAGUUGUUUGGGAAUGCAGCUCUAAAUGGGAGGUAAAUUUCUUCUAAAGCUAAAUACCGGCGAGAGACCGAUAGCGCACAAGUAGAGUGAUCGAAAGAUGAAAAGCACUUUGGAAAGAGAGUUAAAAAGCACGUGAAAUUGUUGAAAGGGAAGCGCUUGCAAUCAGACUUGUCCUAGGUUGUUCAGCCGGUCUUCUGACCGGUCCAUUCAGCCUGGGACAGGCCAGCAUCAGUUUCGGCGGUCGGAUAAAGGCUCUGGGAAUGUGGCUCGCCCUUCGGGGUGAGUGUUAUAGCCCAGGGUGUAAUACGGCCAGCCGGGACUGAGGUCCGCGCUUCGGCUAGGAUGCUGGCGUAAUGGUUGUAAGCGACCCGUCUUGAAACACGGACCAAGGAGUCUAACAUCUAUGCGAGUGUUCGGGUGUCAAACCCCUGCGCGUAAUGAAAGUGAACGGAGGUGGGAACCGCAAGGUGCACCAUCGACCGAUCCUGAUGUCUUCGGAUGGAUUUGAGUAAGAGCAUAGCUGUUGGGACCCGAAAGAUGGUGAACUAUGCCUGAAUAGGGUGAAGCCAGAGGAAACUCUGGUGGAGGCUCGCAGCGGUUCUGACU